GUUAUACUCCCUUCGUCCGGAAAUACUUAUCAUCAAAAUGAAUAAUAAAAGAGGAUAUAUCUAGAUGUAUUUUAGUUCUAGAUACAUCUCCUUUUGUUCAUUUUGAUGACAAGUAUUUUCGGACGAAGGAAGUACUAA
rfam:Triticum aestivum genome assembly, contig: Triticum_aestivum_CS42_TGACv1_scaffold_194022_3AL